rnacentral:rRNA from 1 species
AUUGAACGCUGGCGGCAUGCCUUACACAUGCAAGUCGAACGGCAGCACGGGGCAACCUGGUGGCGAGUGGCGAACGGGUGAGUAAUGUAUCGGAACGUACCUUUCAGUGGGGGAUAACGUAGCGAAAGUUACGCUAAUACCGCAUAUUCUGUGAGCAGGAAAGCAGGGGAUCUUAGGACCUUGCGCUGAUUGAGCGGCCGAUAUCAGAUUAGCUAGUUGGUGAGGUAAAGGCUCACCAAGGCGACGAUCUGUAGCGGGUCUGAGAGGAUGAUCCGCAACACUGGAACUGAGACACGGUCCAGACUCCUACGGGAGGCAGCAGUGGGGAAUUUUGGACAAUGGGCGCAGGCCUGAUCCAGCCAUGCCGCGUGAGUGAAGAAGGCCUUCGGGUUGUAAAGCUCUUUCAGCCGGGAAGAAAACGCAUGGGUUAAUACCCUGUGUGGAUGACGGUACCGGAAUAAGAAGCACCGGCUAACUACGUGCCAGCCGCCGCCGUAA